ACUACCAGUGAGAUUUUAUCUUCGCAUUUAAGUUUGUUUAUUAAUUAUGAGUAGGUUUUGAUAAUUUGUUUGGAUUGGUUUGAAUUUGUUUGGGUCCUUAUGUUAUAUUUGGUUCUCAUUAUGGUAUUUGAGUUAUAAGUGGUUCUAUUUUGAUUGUUUGGGUUAAACUGUGCCAUAGUACAUCCACCUCUGCCCCAAUCAGACCGUACCUCCAUUGAUGUAGUCUCUAUUUUUUGUUUCUUUAACGUUUGCUAUUCGAAGAGAGCGUUGGUAAGGGCAUGUGAAAAGAGUUGGAAAGAGAGCAAUCUGACAUCUCAGGUCAGGCCGCCUAAAACCUUUAUAGAUUUGCUUAGUUCUUUGCCCAGCACAACACUCGGGAAAUUUACAAGAAGAGUUGAGGAACAAACUGAAAGGUCUUAAUUGAUACUUAGAGUCAGAGAGUAGUUGAAAAAGAGGUAGAGACAAAUAAGAAAAUGAAUAUUGGUGAUAUUGAGAAAAGUGCAAAUAUUAUCAAGAUCUUAAUGAAGUAGGAGUUGAUGGAAAAGGACAGUAGUAGGAAGCAUCAAGAAAUUGAAAAUCAAAUGUACACGGCUCAAGGAAAGAGCAAGGCAAUGCAGAUUUCUGUUGGUACUGGCUCUUAUCUUUUAAUGAUUGCUAUUGAGAAAAUUCUAUAAUGGAAGACUUGGUUAGGCCUACCAUAGCCACUUUCUUUGCUUUUACAUAGGCUUGGACAUUUGAUCUUGAGUGACCAAUUUUUAGUUUCAAUCAGUGCAAGUGCAAAAUAAGGAUUGGCUUUAAGGGAUC